rnacentral:tRNA from 1 species
GUUGGGGAGGCCGAGUGGUUAAGGCGUUGGAAUAGAAAUCUAAUGGGAUCUUCCCGCGCAGGUCCGAAUCCUGCCCGCAAGG